rnacentral:rRNA from 1 species
GCAAAACGCGAAGAACCUUACCAGGGCUUGACAUCCUACUAAUGAAGCAGAGAUGCAUUAAGUGCCCUUCGGGGAAAGUAGGGACAGGUGGUGCAUGGUUGUCGUCAGCUCGUGUCGUGAGAUGUUGGGUUAAGUCCCGCAACGAGCGCAACCCCUAUUGUUAGUUGCUACGCAAGAGCACUCUAGCGAGACUGCCGUUGACAAAACGGAGGAAGGUGGGGACGACGUCAAAUCAUCAUGCCCCUUAUGUCCUGGGCCACACACGUAAUACAAUGGCGGUCAACAGAGGGAUGCUAAGCCGUGAGGUGGAGCGAACCCCUAAAAGCCGUCUCAGUUCGGAUUGCAGGCUGCAACUCGCCCCGCACGAAGUCGGAAUCCCUAGUAAUCGUGAAUCAGCAUGUCACGGUGAAUACGUUCCCGGGUCUUGUACACACCG